GAUGAAGAACGUAGCGAAAUGCGGUAAGUAGUGUGAAUUGCAGAAUUCAGUGAAUCAUCGAAUCUUUGAACGCACAUUGCGCCCCUUGGUAUUCCAUGGGGCAUGCCUGUUCGAGCGUCAUUUGUACCUUCAAGCUUUGCUUGGUGUUGGGUGUUUGUCUCGCCUUUGCGUGUAGACUCGCCUUAAAAUAAUUGGCAGCCGGCGUAUUGAUUUCGGAGCGCAGUACAUCUCGCGCUUUGCACUCAUAACGACAGCGUCCAAAAGUACAUUUUACACUCUUGACCUCGGAUCAGGUAGGGAUACCCGCUGAACUUAAGCAUAUCAAUAAGCGGAGGA
rnacentral:misc_RNA from 1 species